GCAAGAAUUUGACUUGUCUGUGAGAGGAACAUACAGCACAAUGAAUGACCAAGAGCUGGACAACAUCAUAUCGGCUAUCAAAAAUCAGAUGCCAAAUGCUGGCUAUCGAAUGGUUCAAGGACAUUUGGUUUCUAUGGGUCUCCGUGUUCAGUGGUGGAGAAUGAUGGCCUCCAUGCAUCGAGUUGAUGCUGUAGGGAUCUUCACACGGAUCACAGAACUAGGCUGUGUUGUGCGAAGAAGCUACUCGGUGUGCGAGGCCCUCUCUCCCUAGUCCACAUAGACACAAAUCACAAGCUAAUAAGGUACAAUGUUGUGAUCUUUGGUGGAGUGGAUGGCUACUCAAGGAAGGUCCUGUACUUGGAUGCAGCAACUAACAACAGGGCAAAAACUGCAUUCUCAUUUUUCCUGAGAUCAGCCCAGCUUCACGGCUUGCCAUCAAGGGUUAGGGCAGAUCAAGGAGUAGAAAACCUGGACAUUGCACAUUUCAUGUUUGCCACAAGAGGAACAGGGAGAGCGAGUUUCAUAUCUGGAAAGAGUGUCCACAAUCAGAGAGUAGAACGACUUUGGC